rnacentral:lncRNA from 1 species
GGGUUGUUGCGGGAUCUCACAGGCUUUAAACCGCGGCGCCGCGGCGCCCGGGUGUGGAUCCCUAGAUGGGAGCCGGGGAUGGGCCGGGUGCCUGGUGGGUGGCAGUCGGGGCUGACGGCGGCGGCACUUUGCCGCCUCAGGCCCUGGACACCUUCACCCCGCCGCCUGCCCAGGCGGGCCGGCCCUGCCCGUCCACCGGCCGCCGAGAGUCCCCGGCCUUGGGUCCCCGGGGCCGCUGACUGGCCUCGGUCACCUCCCGGGGAAGGCUCCCGCGCCUCCAUCUGCCCCCGCAGGAAGGGACCCUCUUCUCGCCCGCGAGGCUUCUCCGGGUGGGAUCGUCCUGGCCCCCAGCCCUAAGGGAUCCGCCCCCUCCGAGCAUCCGCCGCCCCUCGGAGACCACUCCAGCUCGGACGGACCCACUCCAGCCCCCGCUGCACGCGGAAGCGCUCAUCCUCCCCGCCUGCCCCGUUCCCUCCCCCUUCUCCUGUGGGACAACCAGGGACCGCAGCUCCCCGCUCCCCAGGUGUGGGGGCUCCGACACGAACGCCUCUGCUCGCAGGGCGGUGAGCGCAGAUCCCACGGGUCCCUCGGUCGGGGGUCGAGGCUGCUUCCGUUUCCAUCCCGGACCCGACAAUGGGCGGGAAAAAGAAGGCUUUACACGACUACGCGGCGGAGUUCACCGACCUGGUGGUGAAGCACCUGAUUGAGCACAGUGACUCUGGGGACACGUCUGUGGUGGAGACCCUUUACUGCAGGGCCUGCGAGCUGCCCGUGCGCGUGCGGAGGGACCGCAUCCUGGAACACCUGUCCUCGGGCAGGCAGCACGGCCUGCGGACGCCCAUUCUCAUGUAAAUGUCAGUGCCAACGCUGGUGUUUCAGGAGUCAUCCCAGCGGGCUGCGGGCUAUUUUAGGAUUCUCUGCCCUGCAAACGUUUCCAAAGUACGUGGACAGGCCGCCUGAUGACACUACGUUUACGGGAUCUGCUAGUGGCUUGCCUACUUAGGGAGUAAACCCUGUGAAGUCUCGCAGUUUUGUUAAAGUGUGCGUGGCCACCUGAAUGCUGCCUUAUCACAAGCCAGAUACAUACUGGUCUGUAGGGUAACUCCCCACUGUUGAUCCUCUGAGAUGAUUGUGGACUGGGUGCUGUGAGUCCUGCCACUUUGUUUAAGUGAAUGUGUCUUUUGUCCAGCUCAGCCGCCUCGGAUCUCGCUGCCACCAGCCUUACUGCACACCCGUGCCACCCGCCCUUGCCCCGUCAGCCUCAGCCUCAGCUCAUUCUCUCAGGCAGUCCCAGCAUUGGCACGGUACCUCCUCCCGCUGUGGGCCACACGUCUCUGCUCCCUGUCAACCCUCCUGCCAUCAGCACCACCACCAGCGACUUGUCUGCCCGGGAGGAUGCAACACCAUCUGCCUCCACCGGCCACCUUUCAGUGUUUCCUGCUUUCCAAGUAAAGAUACCAGCAGUGCCCUCAGAGCAGACCAGCCAGAGUUUUUCUGAAGCCUCCCACAGGGUGCUCCCCGGAGGAGGCCCGAGAUGCUCUCGUGACUUUGGAGCCGGGGUGGCUGGCCACCUUGGCCUGGGCAUCUUUGGGGUGGGCUUCGGGAGCCCGGCACUGCUGCAGAGUGUGGUGGAUGAGAACAGCUGCUGCUUGCUGUACGUGGUGGAGGACCAGCUGUGUGAUGUGGAGCAAGCCUUCAGAGCUGAGCAUUUGGGCCAACACCAGAGUGGUUCGGGAACAGGAUGCAGACAUUGUCCUCAACGACCAGCGGCACUUUGAUCCGGUUUUCCAGUUCUUGCACAAGCAAGUUUGUGUCAGCCACGCCCUGGGGAGGAUCCACUGGAUCACCGCCGUCACUGCCUGUUCCCGGCGGCCUCUCCGGCUUCCCUAAAGAGAGCAGUAGCUUCCCUCGAGACCAGAAGCCAGAGCUCACCCUCCCUUGUGUCCAGGUGGGACUUUCUACAACGCUGCUGUGCACGACGUGGAUGCCGUAUGCAUGUUGCUGGGGGAAGCCACUCCGGACACUGUGUUUUCUCUGGGACAUGUCUUCUGCCCAGAUAUGGCCGCCUUAAAAGAUGCAGAUGCUGUUGUGAUCAGCAUGAAGUUUCCCUGUGAGGCCGUGGUUAGCGUGGACAUCAGCCAGCACUGCACAGACAGCUGCGACCAGGACGUCAGCCAGCACUGCACAGACAGCUGCGACCAGAGACUGGAGGGAAAUAACCUCCUGAAAUCACCAAAGAGCAGUUCCUCAGGGCCUUCCGGGUGACCGUGGCCGUGGAGCAGUCGUGGUGAAACCGGUCAGCUGUGGACCUGCCCUGCGAAUCGGCAGAGGCCUCCGUGGUGAAGACAGAAGCUCCGUGAACCAACUCGAGGCUGGAGCCAAGAUCCUGCCUGAUAUCCAGUUGCCUGUUUCACUUGUUACUGUUACUGGGAGAGGGAGACAAAACCUCAUGGCAAUCUUGUCCUCACUGGAGACUCAGAAGGGGAAGCAUUGGGAAACCAUGUAUGUUUCAUUUCUGGUUUAACCAGGCUUUUCAGGAUGGGACUUCAGACCAAGGACACAAGUUGGGCUUGCUUAGGUGUUUUGUGUUGUGCGCAGGCCUCAGAGAUGCUCUUCCGGUCAGAGUUCCCUUGGCAGGGCCUUGGAGGCCUCUGGUUGGCUCUCUCAGGAAGAGGGCAGGUCAGGGAUUGGGCGGUGUAAAUUGACUCAGAAACCUGCGGUUUCAGCUUUUCUGUGGCAAACAGGGCCGAGGGCUGGUGAAGCUGUUAAGGCUAAAUGUCGCAUGCAUGAGGCGGGCUGCAGGCCUCCUUAGGCCUUUUUUGGGGUAAUUACACCAGUAUUUAAAAACAUUUUUUUUUGUUUGUUUUGAGAUGGAGUCUUGCCCUGUCACCCAGGCUGGAGUGCAAUGGUGCGAUCUCGGCUCACUGCAACCUCCGUCUCCCAGGUUCAAGCGAUUCUUCUGCCUCAGCCUUCUGAGUAGCUGGGAUUACACGCGUGUGCCACCACGCUCGGCUAAUUUUUGUAUUUUUAGUAGAGAUGGGAUUUCACCAUGUUGGCCAGGCUGGUCUCGAACUACUGACCUCGUGAUCCACCUGCCAUGGCCUCCCAAAGUGCUGGGAUUACAGGCGUGAGCCACCAUGCUCGGCCUAAAAAACAAUUUUCUUGAAGAAUCCGAUUUUGUGCAUAGUAAUGACACAGCACCAUUCCUGAGAAAUAGGAAAUAUAUGUGUGUGGUAUGAAAAGCCCAUAUUCUGUUCUUGUCACCUGAAUCUAGGCUUCCUCUUUGGAUGUGAACGCGGGAAUGAACAGUGGCUGUUUUCCACCCAAAGGGGCGUGGAGACCUUUUGGAAACGGGCUUUCUCCUUUCCAUUUUGCAGCCGGGGGCGGGUGGAAACCUUCCUUCGAAGGGUAGUGCCUUGGGGAGCAGCAGACCUGCUCUGAGUCCAGCUUAGCUUUCCAAAAUUCUGUGUGGAACUUACUGGAGAUGUUUUUAUAUAUUUGAAAAUAAUGGCCUGUAUUUCUCACGCUAUACUUAAAAAAAAUAACUAACCUUUUAAACAAAGAUAUUCAAACUCACCCUUGUGCUG